GAUUUCCAUGAGUUUCAUGCAACAAAUGGGAAGCAGCAGGGCCCGUCUGGCUAGUGCUCCAGUGAUGAAUUUUGUUGAACUAGGUAAAGCUUUAGAUGUCAGACAUGCUCUGAACUUUACUGCACAAGCAUUCGACAGCAUGGUUCUAUUAGUGACAGAGGGAUUUGGAGGUACAGGUACUGAAGGGUAAUGGAUUUGAAGGUUGCUAUAUCUUGAGUUGUCCCAUUGUCUUACUAAAUUCAGGAUUCAACCCAGGAGAGUGUACAGAAUAUGCAGGUUUGUAUUGUUUCCGGUGUAUGUUGGUGAUGCAUCGGAUGUCACUCAGUUUCUAGGAAAUUCAAGAUGGCAUGUAAGCUUCUCCUAUUUGAUGUAUUUUUACUUUCUCAAAAUCUCUUUAUUAAUACC
rnacentral:lncRNA from 1 species